UCAAAGAUACUUUCGUCCAGCCACAGCUGCACGCAAUGGGGGCGACUCGGAGCAAUCCUCGGAGGGGUUAGAUUCCCAUGA
rnacentral:ncRNA from 1 species